AGUGAACGCUGGCGGUAGGCCUAACACAUGCAAGUCGAACGGCAGCACAGUAAGAGCUUGCUCUUACGGGUGGCGAGUGGCGGACGGGUGAGGAAUACAUCGGAAUCUACUUUUUCGUGGGGGAUAACGUAGGGAAACUUACGCUAAUACCGCAUACGACCUACGGGUGAAAGCAGGGGAUCUUCGGACCUUGCGCGAUUGAAUGAGCCGAUGUCGGAUUAGCUAGUUGGCGGGGUAAAGGCCCACCAAGGCGACGAUCCGUAGCUGGUCUGAGAGGAUGAUCAGCCACACUGGAACGGAGACACGGUCCAGACUCCUACGAGAGGCAGCAGUGGGGAAUAUUAGACAAUGGGCGCAAGCCUGAUCCAGCCAUACCGCGUGGGUGAAGAAGGCCUUCGGGUUGUAAAGCCCUUUUGUUGGGAAAGAAAAGCAGCAGGUUAAUACCCCGCUGUUCUGACGGUACCCAAAGAAUAAGCACCGGCUAACUUCGUG
rnacentral:rRNA from 1 species